CCCAAAGGUAGUCUUUUAUAACAAAGAGAGUCUUCUGGUAAACCUAUAGAAAUUAUCAUGCUGAGGGGUGACGUGGAUUUAAAAUAUGUCUAGGCCAGGCACAGUGGCUCAUGCCUGUAAUCCCAGCACUUUGAGAGGCCAAGGCAGGAGGAUCGCUUGAGCCCAGGAGCUCAAGGCUGCAGUGGGUCAUGAUCCCACCGUUGCCCUCCAGAGUGAGCGACAGAGCGAGACCCUAUCUAAAAAAAAUAACACAUUAAAUUAAAUUAAAAUAUGUCUAAAGAAGUUUGAACAGAGGUUCCCAACCUUUGGGAUACAGUGCCAGCAUCUCACUAGCAGAGUGACUCUUAUGGAAGGAGACAUCUGGGACCCUUGUCAGUGGGGGCUGGGGGCUGUGUAUGAUUCUGACAGAUAUUCAGGACCUCUCAUCUCAAGAAUUACCAGUUUAGAGAUAUGCCUCCCUAGCCGGGCACAGUGGCUCAUACCUGUAAUCUCAGCACUGUGGGAGGCUGAGGUGAGUAGACCACAUGAGGCCAGGAGUUCGAGACCAGCCUGGCCAACAUGGUGAAACUCCAUCUCUACUAAAAAUACAAAAAGUAGCCGAGCAUGGUGGUGCACAUCUGUAAUCCCGGCUACUCAGGAGGCUGAGUCAGGAGAAUCGCUUGAACCUGGGGGCAGAGGUUGCAGUGACCCAAGAUCGUGCCACUGCACUCCACCCUGGGCGACAGAGAAAGAGCCUGCCUCAAAGAGAAAGAAAGAAAGAAAAAGAUAUGCCUCCCUAAUGACUCCCUAGGAGGCAUGGCCUCCCCCAAACCGUCCUCCUGUGCUCUUCCAAAACAGGGUUCUGGGCCUCUAGGAUGCUCUAUCGCAUGUUUUUGCAGUAACAGCUGGAUGGACAAAUGCUGUGAAAUUAUAGGCACAGGCUGGCUCAUCCUGAGCCUGGUAUGAAGUUUCCUACUUUCCCCCUUUACUCCCUGCCAAUACCCAAUACCCAGGGCCCAGAUGUCAGAGAGCUGGUCAUGGUGCCCAAAUCUUUGAUCAUAAGAUAACUGCCUUUACCUGUGUGUUUUGGGGUGUUUUUCAUUUUUGGUGGUGUCUGACUUAAACCUGCCUUCUUGAGACUUCCAUUUCAUCCUCUGGCCUCCUUUCAGCGCUAUGCAUUCACUGUUUCUGAAGAGUUCCAAAAGGGCUGCAGCUCUGUGGGGCCCAGACCACCAGCAGCUGGUCCACGGCCUCUGGCUCUGCCAGUCUUCUGCCUUUCAAUCCCAAUUGCAUUCUCCCCAGUGUGUUUCACCCUUGUCCCACAUUGCGUCCUCCCUCCUUUCCCUCUGCCCCAUCCAAUUCAUCCUCUAGUCCCUGACUUCUCCAUGAAGGUUAAUCUCACGCUUAUCGUAUCAUGAGCUCUGACUCCUCCCAUCAACUCUGCUGUCAAGCAAAUUGUACCACCUUAGGGUGCCAAUUUCCUCUUCAUGUCUGUUGCUCAACUCCGAUCACUUGUACCCCCUGUGGUGCCCAUCCAGGCUAGACACGUGCUAAAUACUAAAGAGGUAUUCAAGUGAACAAAAUGCAGAGGCCAGCAUCCUGAGUGUCACCAUCUUUGAUCAGCUCUGUGGUUAGAGCUCCCUACGGGACUCUCCUAGGGCCUGUGCUGGGGGCUGGGGUGACUCACGGUGUAGUUGAGGGGCACUAGUGCAGCGGGAUCCCCCAACCCAGGAUCCAGGAAACCGGAGACUUAGCCUUGACCAUCACUAGCUCAGUAUGGCUUCUACAGACCAGUAUUUUCCCAACUUCUCAGCGGGAUGUCCUGCAGCGAGCCUUCCAGAAGAUCAGGCGUAUAUUUCUCAAGCCCCCACCCUCAUGCAGUCAUAUGCUUUCUAGUAGUGUUGUUCUCACAAAUACCUUCUCUCCUUUAGACGUCAGGCUCCCAGAGGGCAAGGACUAGGUCUUACUCUUCUUUGUUCCCUAAUAGAUGUUCAUGAAACAAUAACAAUGCAGCCAUCCGUCCAUCCUCAAUCUCAUUCUCCUAACACCCUGCCUUGCCCUUUCCAUAAAGUAAGGCACAAACUGAGGCCAUGAGCAUGAAGUUCCCUGAGCUGUCCACCCAUCUCAGGAAACGUUCUACUCUCUUGAGCUUUUUGGAGCAGCAACCUUUGCAGAGCACUCCUUGUACCUGAUCAUCUGGUACAGUGCUGAGGAAGGAAUGCUACAAUCCAGAUGUCCCUGUUAGAGCUUCCUAGGCUGAUGAGGACAGAAAGCCCAGAACAGCAUAUCCUGAAAUGAGGAAGUAAUUUGAAUGUCUGGGAAAUUGAACACAGGUCUGUAAGGACACAGAUGCAGCUUUCAGCAGUGGAUACUUCCAGGAAGUGUGUUAGGAAAGAGUUUCACUCUUUAUUGUGUCCUCUUUUCUUUUUCUUUUUUUUUUUAAACUGUUCGAAUUUUUAUUGCAUGCAUUGUGUGUGUUUUUUUUUGUUUGUUUGUUUGGUUUUGUUUUUUUUUUUGGAGACGGAGUCUCACUCUGUCACCCAGGCUGGAAUGCAGUGGCACAAUCUUGGCUCACUGCAAGCUCCAUCUCCCGGGUUCAAGCGAUUCUCCUGCCUCAACCUCCUGAGUAGCUGGGAUUACAGGUGUGUGCCAUCACACCUGGCUAAUUUUUGUGUUUUUAGUAGAGACAGAGUUUCACCAUGUUGGCCACGCUGGUCUCAAACUCCUGACCUCAUGAUCCGCCCGCCUAGGCCUCCCAAAUUGCUGAGAUUACAGGCGUGAGCCACCAUGUCUGGACUGCAUUGAUUUUUAAAUUAAAAGUCAAUUAAAAAAAUAGGCUGGGUUGGGCGAGGUGCAGCAGUUCACAUCUGUAAUCUCAGCACUUUGGGAGGCUGAGGUGGGAGGGUUGCUUGAGCUCAGGAGUUCAAGCCCAGCCUGGGCAACAUAGCAAGACCCUAUCUCUACAAAAAGUAAAGAAAAACAAAAUAGCCAGGUGUGGUGAUGCAUGCAUGCCUAUAGUCCCAGCCACUGGGGAGGCUGAGGCAAGAGACUGCUUGAGCCCAGGAGUUCGUGGCUGCAAUGAGCAAUGAUUGAAUCAUUGCACUUCAGCCUGGACAACAGAGUGAAAUCCUAUCUCUCUCUUUUUUUGAGGAGUCCCGCUCUGUCGCCCAGGCUGGAGUGCAGUGGUGCCAUUUCGGCUCACUGCAACCUUUGCCUCCCGGGUUCAAGCGAUUCUCCUG
rnacentral:lncRNA from 1 species